rnacentral:lncRNA from 1 species
UUCAAAUCUCUUAUACAUACAAAGGUACAGGCGUGAAUCACAUCUGGUUUCUGAACCAGCAUACUACUUCACAAACAUCUUUUCUGCAGAAUCUUUCAUCUGGAACAUCAAUGCAAAAACACUUUCAAUUGAUGAAUUAGAAUUUCAAAAUAAUAUGGAAUCUGCUAGGGCACUUUUACCAGGCAUUUCAACAAACACAGACAGUAUUACUGCUACAAGCCAAACCACGCACCAUGAUGUCAAAACAGAGAGAAUAAAAUCCAAGGAAUCCCAAGCAUCCGAGAACAGAAAGAAACU